rnacentral:rRNA from 1 species
AUUGAACGCUGGCGGCAGGCCUAACACAUGCAAGUCGAGCGAGUGGCGGACGGGUGAGUAAUGUAUGGGGACUGCCCGAUAGAGGGGGAUAACUACUGGAAACGGUAGCUAAUACCGCAUACUAUCGGAUAACCCAUAUGGGAUUAGCUAGUAGGUGGGGUAAAGGCCCACCUAGGCGACGAUCUCUAGCUGGUCUGAGAGGAUGACCAGCCACACUGGGACUGAGACACGGCCCAGACUCCUACGGAGGCAGCAGUGGGGAAUAUUGCACAAUGGGCGCAAGCCUGACGCAGCCAUGCCGCGUGUAUGAAGAAGGCCUUAGGGUUGUAAAGUACUUUCAGCGGGGAGGCGUUACCUGCAGAAGAAGCACCGGCUAACUCCGUGCCAGCAGCCGCGGUAAUUC